rnacentral:rRNA from 1 species
CCUACGGGGGGCAGCAGUGGGGAAUAUUGGACAAUGGGGGGAACCCUGAUCCAGCCAUGCCGCGUGUGUGAAGAAGGCCCUCGGGUUGUAAAGCACUUUCAGUGAGGAAGAACGCCUGGUGGUUAAUACCCAUCAGGAAAGACAUCACUCACAGAAGAGGCACCGGCUAACUCCGUGCCAGCAGCCGCGGUAAUACGGAGGGUGCGAGCGUUAAUCGGAAUUACUGGGCGUAAAGCGCGCGUAGGUGGCUUGAUAAGCCGGUUGUGAAAGCCCCGGGCUCAACCUGGGAACGGCAUCCGGAACUGUCAAGCUAGAGUGCAGGAGAGGAAGGUAGAAUUCCCGGUGUAGCGGUGAAAUGCGUAGAGAUCGGGAGGAAUACCAGUGGCGAAGGCGGCCUUCUGGACUGACACUGACACUGAGGUGCGAAAGCGUGGGUAGCAAACAGGAUUAGAUACCCCGGUAGUC